CAUUACUGAGUUUACGCUCUAUAACCCUUUGUGAACAUACCUAUAACUGUUGCUUCGGCGGGUAGGGUCUCCGUGACCCUCCCGGCCUCCCGCCCCCGGGCGGGUCGGCGCCCGCCGGAGGAAAACCAAACUCUGAUUUAACGACGUUUCUUCUGAGUGGUACAAGCAAAUAAUCAAAACUUUUAACAACGGAUCUCUUGGUUCUGGCAUCGAUGAAGAACGCAGCGAAAUGCGAUAAGUAAUGUGAAUUGCAGAAUUCAGUGAAUCAUCGAAUCUUUGAACGCACAUUGCGCCCGCCAGCAUUCUGGCGGGCAUGCCUGUUCGAGCGUCAUUUCAACCCUCAAGCUCUGCUUGGUGUUGGGGCCCUACAGCUGAUGUAGGCCCUCAAAGGUAGUGGCGGACCCUCCCGGAGCCUCCUUUGCGUAGUAACUUUACGUCUCGCACUGGGAUCCGGAGGGACUCUUGCCGUAAAACCCCCAAUUUUCCAAAGGUUGACCUCGGAUCAGGUAGGAAUACCCGCUGAACUUAAGCAUAUCAAUAAG
rnacentral:rRNA from 1 species